GACGAACGCUGGCGGCGUGCUUAACACAUGCAAGUCGAACGGAAAGGCCCUGCUUGCCGGGUACUCGAGUGGCGAACGGGUGAGUAACACGUGGGUGAUCUGCCCUGCACUUCGGGAUAAGCCUGGGAAACUGGGUCUAAUACCGGAUAGGAGCCAUUUUUAGUGUGAUGGUUGGAAAGUUUUUUCGGUGUAGGAUGAGCUCGCGGCCUAUCAGCUUGUUGGUGGGGUAAUGGCCUACCAAGGCGGCGACGGGUAGCCGGCCUGAGAGGGUGGACGGCCACAGUGGGACUGAGAUACGGCCCAGACUCCUACGGGAGGCAGCAGUGGGGAAUAUUGCACAAUGGGCGCAAGCCUGAUGCAGCGACGCCGCGGGGGGGAUGACGGCCUUCGGGUUGUAAACUCCGUUCGCUAGGGACGAAGCUUUUUGUGACGGUACCUAGAGAAGAAGCACCGGCUAACUACGUG
rnacentral:rRNA from 1 species